rnacentral:lncRNA from 1 species
CUUGCGGUGUGGGACCCUGGGUCUCCCUCGAAGCUGCCGCCUGCUGAAGUAGGAGGUCCUCAAGAUGCUUCAUCCGCGCCUCCUGCCGCUGAGCCACCUCAGCCUGUCGCUGCGCCGCUGCCGUCUGCUGCGCCAAUAGAUCAGUGAGGACCGCAAGCUGGGUCCUCAAGUCACGGACCUCACUGGAUCCGGAAGUAGCGGAGGUCUCGACCUCCUCGAGGUGUGCCGCAUCAUCCGCCCCGGCAGACUGGGAGCGUGUAAUCGGCAUCAUCACUACAA